CAGCCCCCAACCCCACCCUCGCGCCCCCGGAAGCGCUUGUGCCCGUGAUCCGGGAAGCGGUCGUGUCUCUGCAGUUAGGGAGGGGGAGGGGGCUCGUCCGAGCGUCCUUGUGGGGACCGGCGUUAUGUUUCUUACAAUGGCGACUUAUACAUUCUGGUGAGGAUGACAAGUGCGGCAGAGACAGGCUACUGUUUCAAUGUCAGGAGACUCCGGCUACAGGAAAAACUGGUCCUGCUGAGAUACGAUCCUCUUGCAAAAAAGCGUGUCCUCUUCACAGAGAAGAGA